rnacentral:rRNA from 1 species
AUUGAACGCUGGCGGCAUGCCUUACACAUGCAAGUCGAACGGCAGCACGGGAGCAAUCCUGGUGGCGAGUGGCGAACGGGUGAGUAAAGUAUCGGAACGUGCCCAGUCGUGGGGGAUAACGUAGCGAAAGUUACGCUAAUACCGCAUACGAUCUAUGGAUGAAAGCGGGGAUCGCAAGACCUCGCGCGAUUGGAGCGGCCGAUAUCAGAUUAGGUAGUUGGUGGGGUAAAGGCUCACCAAGCCGACGAUCUGUAGCUGGUCUGAGAGGACGACCAGCCAAACUGGGACUGAGACACGGCCCAGACUCCUACGGGAGGCAGCAGUGGGGAAUUUUGGACAAUGGGCGAAAGCCUGAUCCAGCCAUGCCGCGUGCAGGAUGAAGGCCUUCGGGUUGUAAACUGCUUUUGUACGGAACGAAAAGGUUUGGCCUAAUAAGCUGAGCUCAUGACGGUACCGUAAGAAUAAGCACCGGCUAACUACGUGCCAGCAGCCGCGGUAA